CCAACCUCAAGGCCCCAUGCCCCGAGGACCCCUACCCCCUGACCUCGAGGAGUUGUGCCCCGAGGCUCCCACCCAAGCGUCGAGGCAUCGUUUCCCCAGGCUCGGACUCACUCCCACCCAGACCUGGAGGCAUCUUAGCCCUAUGCACCUUAGCCUAGGCCCCCAUCCACUCACCUUUCCUCCAACGUUGUUCCUUCGCCCAACGUCGUGCCCACCUGAAAUAUUUUAAAUAUAAAAUUAUUUGAGAAAACUACUUCUAAAAGUUGACUAUUGUUUUCAAAAAUAUUCUGAAAGUUUUUAUUCAACAAGAUAUUGAAAACUUAUUAACAGUUAAACUUUAAUUUCAAUCAAAUGUUUUUUACACAACUAAUCAAAAUUGAUAAAUUAUUGACUAAAAAUAGUGAUCAACUAUAAAAAUUAAAAAAAAAGUUAUUUCAAAGUAAAUAAAAAUGUUUUUAUUCCUUGAAAAGUUUUUUUGAAAAUAAGAUAAACUUAGUCAUAUUGAUUAGUCAAGUGGAAUAUCAUUUGAUUGAAAUUAUAAGGCAAAGUAAAUUAACGUAACAAUGGUUUCUUUAGGAGGAUUUAAUUAACUUAAACUAGUUUAAAGUGUUAUUUAUAAACAUAGUUGUAUUAUAGUGAAUGUCUAAUUAUGUGAAUCCUUGUAGGAUAUGGUUAGGAAUCCUACUUAGGGACCAAGUAAGGUUUCCCCUAUAAAUAAAGGGAUUUCCUUCAUUGUAAAAAAGAUUUGUGAAAGAACUAUGAAUCUUGAAUAUACUUCAAGAUGAAGAAGAAGUCUUUUAUCUUCUUCCUACUUUAUUAUUCUUCUAAAUUUAUAUAGUUUCAUAACACGCUGCCAGCACAAUUGUUUCAUUCUUAAAGAAUUAUGAAGAAGUCGGGGAAAGUGCAAAAGAGAUCUUGCAUAAGUUAUGCAAUAAGGUUCUUAUAUCUUCGAGGUAUGAUUUAUCUUUAUGUUAUAGUUAUUUAUGUAACAGAUCUAGAGGUACCAUCUAAAGUAAGUAUUUAAAGAGACUUGUCGACUUUCUAACGUUUAAUUUUAACCGACUAGGAAGAUAAUUUCUUCAUUUAUUUUGAUAAUUGAAUAAGCACAACUUAGUGAAAGGUAUGUUUUCAACCUUUAUAUGAGGUAUGUAAUCUAUUAAGCUAUAUUUAUUAACUGCUAAUAUUGAUUAUAAUAAAUCAAUAAUCUCAAUUUUGUGUGUAAUUAUAAUGUACUAUCAUAUUAAUGAUCAUCAAAAGUGAUAAAAUUACAAUUAUUUUGAUGGCUUGAGGUUGAGCCUCAUUGUGGGUAAGACGAUAGAUUUAAGUUUUAUCGCACCAAAAGAAUAAGAUGAUGAAUUUAUAUCCAAUCGCACAAAGAGGGUAAGACAUUGAGUUAAAGUCAUGAUGCACCAUGAUGAUAACAUAUUAAGUUUAACACCCAUCGAUUUAUGACCUAAGACACUUUUAUAUGGAUAAGACAUUGAAUUUGAGUUUUAAUGCACCAUAUUGAUGAUACAAUAAUGACUAAAGAAAAACUAAUGUAUUUUUUAUGAGAAGUCAUGAGAUUUACUGAAUUUGCUCCAUUAUGCAAAGUGAAUGUAAUAGUAGUGCAUAAUAUGUUUGAAAGAAGACAAGUGACUUAAUAAUAAACAUAAAUAUGGAAUGAGGUACUAAAGGUGUCAUAAUUUGAUAUGCUCACAUGUUUGUGUUCCAUUAGCAAGAAUGAGAACUUUUGAUAAAUAUUAAAAAUAUAAAUAUAUUCUCUAAAGGGAAUGAGGUGUACGCCACUAUGCUAGGCAUGAGAAAGAUUGCGAUCUUUGGUCUAUGAUGUGGUAUCACCAAGAAUGUCUCUAAGAAGACAUGUAUUAUAGAAAAGUUCCAUUUUUAUAUUCAAUCUUGUAUUGGACAAGAAUUAGUGCACUUGAGGCACAUUUUAUGGUAAAUAAGAACUUUGCUAAUUCCAAUACUUUCUUUAGUUUGACACGAUUUUCUGGGACAUCGUUAGUCUAUAAUGUUUAGACGAAUUAUGGAAAUUUAAAAUAAUGGACAUUCAUGGAAGAACCUAAAAAUUCUUUUAAAUGGUGAAUUUUCUUAUACUACUUGUUAGCAAGGCAAGUUAAUUGUGAAUUGAAUCUCCUGCGUUCUAGUAACGUAUACAAAUAUUUGUGGACUUAUUCAUAUAUCUAGUGGAAUGUUUAGAUACUUAAUGUUCUUAAUAGAUGUUUCUUCUAUAUGGUCUCAUGUGUGCCUAUUAUUAUCUCGCAACUUGAUGUUUGCAAAAAUAUUGGAACAAAUAAUAUGUUUGCAUGCACAAUUUUCUUCAGAUUAGUUCAUUCAAUGAUGGGAUCACGACUCACCUAAAGGGUAAAGUAAUUGAGAAGAAAUAAAUCUGAAAAUUAACAUUAAAGUAACAAAAUUGAAAUUUACUCAUGUAAUAGUAAAUCAGAAAUUUACUAAACCAAAAAGCACAUGGCGUAGUUAACAUGGAGUUUACGAUACUAAUAAUUUUAUUAGUUGGCAUGAAGAAUUUGAUUAUCGCAAAGAUGUGCAUAUUGAGUAAUGGACAUACAUCAAAAAACUAGAAGAUUCUUCAAGAAUUUUUUACGUUGCUUGUUGUCGUGAUAAAGUUGAUUGGAUCAACUAAAGUUGGGACUAAAUCCCUAAAUUCUGAAAAGUAUAAAAGGUGAAUAUGGGCCCAUUCACCUAUCAUGUGAUAUGAUAAACAGAUGCAUCUAUAAGAUAAUCACAUGUGUGUUUGUUGUCAACCUGUAGUUUGACAUUCAUAAAAUUGUUCAUGCAAAAAUAAUUGAGUUAAGAGCACAAUUUCAGAAUAUGUAAUCAAGACAAUUUAUCUUGAUAAUAUUGAUAAAUACUCAAGAUGUUGUGACAUUAAGUGUAUGAGAUAGUGAAAUCAUUGCUUGUGAAAAUAAAGCUCCAUGUGUUGAUCUGAAAUAUGAUCAGAUUUUCUUUCAAUUGAUUUAUGAUCAGGGACCAAAUAUUUUUAUCUGAUUAUUUUGGUAUGUAGUAUAUAAUCAAUGAAUAUACAAUGAUUCACAAAGAUAGAUUCUCCAAAAGAUUGAGAUAUAUGUUAGUUUGUCUAACAUAAGGGGGGAGAUUAGAAUGGACAAAAAAGUUGUAAAUACUCUUAUUGAAUGUCUCUUAAGGAUCGAGUCUAUGACAUGCAUGAAGCGUGAUAGACUAAUCAAUUCUAAAUAAAAUAAUCCUUGAAAAAGAGGAGGAUAAAAGAAUCAAAAUGAUCAUAAUAAGGAGAUAAUGUGCUCUAGGAGAGCCUACGACAUAACACUUUAUAAAACCUCAUGAAGGGGUUGCUCACUAAAAAUAAUGAAGUGAUGAGAUCUCAAUAAGUUAUGUCUAUUGUGAAUCGAUACAAAAUGAUAUAUAGUUGACGAUAUCUCUGAUACCAUAGCGUACAAUAUUGUAAAAGAUUAUGAGGAUAUGAAUUCUACAUCUAUUAAAGCAUGCUUGUGUAGAAAUAAUUAUCAAGUGAAAAGUGAAAUAAUGCAUCUUGGUAAGCUUAAAGCUUAUAUGACUUGCAAUCUAGGCACUAGAAGAUGGCAUACAUAUUAUAUUGAAUGUUGUCACGUGAUAAAAUUGAUAUGAAAAUAUACAAUGGGUUCAAAAUCUAAAGCAUAUACAAGUUUUUGGAAAACUUGUCUAUCAUCCUCAUAAGGAUCAAAUAGAUUCAAAAUGCAUAGAGCAUAUACAAGUAUUAUCAUACAAGUUGAUAACUAUAAUUGAAACUCUUGAAGAGUUUUCAAAGGCAACAGAUUAUUUGCUUAAAGAAGUUAAAGUAAGGAACUUGGAGAAAUCUUUGACCCUGAAAGGAAGAUUCAUAAAGGAGAUAGAAGAAAGCAUAUUUCGUCGAGGUUUUUCUACACUCAUGAGCUCCAAAUAAUGGUGAUAUCAACAUGCAAAAGGUAUGUUCAAGUAAUAUUAUUGUUGAUUUAUUCACCAAGUCUCUAUCAACUACAACUUUCAAGAAGAUGGUGCGCAACCUUGGAAAAUGAAGAUUUAAGUCUCUAAAUUGAUGUUGUUAUUAGCGGGAUUAAUACACGAUGUACUCUUUUUUCCUCACAAGAUUUUGUCCCGCUGGAUUUUUCUUGUAAGGUUUUUAAUGAGGCAUUCAUAAUGCGUAUUAUUAGAUAUGUGUACUCUUUUUCCUUCACUAGAUUUUUUUCCCAUCGAAUUUUAUCUAGUAAGAUUUUAAUGAGACACAUAAUCUACUGACAUUCAAGGGGGGGUGUUAUAAACAUAUUUAUAUUAUAGUGAAUAUCUAACUGUGUGGAGUCCUUGUUGGAUAUAGUUAGGAAUCCUACUUGGAGACCAAGUAAGGUUUCCCCUAUAUAUAAAGGGAUUUUCCUUCAUUAUAAAGAAGAUUUUUGAAGGAAUUAUGAAUCUUGAAUAUACUUCAAGAUGAAUAACAAGUCUUUCUCUUCUUCCUACUUUAUUCUUCUUCAAAAUUUAUAUAAUUUCAUAGCAUAAAGUAAGAUUAUGCAAAUGAUUUCGAUUAAAACAAGUUACAAAAGAAGUAAAUCACUUUUUGGGGGAUCUACUAAGAGUUUGGGCCAGCAUAGGUUUUGGAUCUGCUGCUGCACUUUGGGCUUCGGCCCAUGUCACUACAUAUCUUUGAAUACUAGUGUAUAUACUCUACUUCCUUUGUAUAUUGGACAUAUACAACCAAAUUUGCACAUGUAUCAUAGGUAUGUCGACUGUAUAUCAACUCCAUUUCUUGCAUACUUGAUUCCAUUUCACUCGAACAAGAUGAAGUUGACUCGAUGAAUAUCAGUUGGGUUUCAAUCAAAUUGAAAUUCAAAGAUGACUGGAUGAGUCUCUACUUUGAACUUUACACACACUUUCAAAAAUAUUAAUAUGAAUAUUUCACCAUGAAGUGAAGAAAUCAAGAAAAUAGAGAAGUUGCAGUAGAAACAGUAUUGGUUGAGUGACUAGAAAUUGAAGAAGUGUUACGAGGGUAAAAUGAAAUUCUGGGAUUGGUAUAUGAAAAUUGUAGUUGUUUCGGCCAUAAUUGGAGGUUCCAUGGAGUUUUUCAUGAUUAAGACUGGAUUUUAUGAUAAAGUGACUGUUCUAUAAAAGCGGAAAAGAAAGCCUGGGAGAAUUCUCCUGAAGCCAAGGCUGUUAGAGACGCUCUUAAUCCAUGGAGACAUCAGGAUGCAGAAGUAAGAAAGGAUUCGUAGCUCUGUCACUUCGGUUAGAGAAUUAUAAGGCAACUCAGGGAAUGACUUUGAAGGGAAAUAGACCUAACGUAGUACUUUUUUGGGCUUGCUCCUAUUGAUAUUUCUCUUCGAAUGUUUCUUGAAGAGAGUUUUGCAACUAACAACUGAUUGAUUGUUUCAUCAACUUGGUUGUGGUCACUUCCUUUCUUUUUCAAUAUUAGUACUUUGCUUUCCUAGAUGGCAUGGUUAAGAGAAACAAUCAGUUGCACCUUUGAGAAAAAUAGUGGAGUAGGUAGCCAUUUGAGAAAAAAAAACUAUUAUCACAGAUAGAGGAAAUGUUGGCAUCAUAGCCUCUAUGGUUACUACAAGUACAUGCGCAGAGAGGAAUCAAUUACUACAGAGAGUUUUUUUUGAAAUCUCAACUGUGCACUCAACAUUAGUCUAUACUAACACUAAAUCUUACAGAAAUAGCAGCAAAGGAGCAAUAUGUUUCAAGCAAGAAUCCUAGUAGAAAAAACAUGCGUCUAUCUGUAAAGGAUUCUCAAGCCAAGGAUUUCAUUGAUAAAAUAAAGACUCAAUCCGUUAUAUGCCUAAACGAGGGACUCAAAGACUGAUUAAAGCACUCAAUCGAAGUAAGAAAGAUCAGUAUAUGCGAUGAAGAUCCACAAACGAGUAAACCAAUAUACAUAGCGAUUCAUGAGAUACUUAGACAAACAGUGAACUAAGACUGGAAAUCAAAGCAAAGAAACAACAAGACAUUGAGCAUCUGGAAUGAAAAUUCAAAAGAUGACCUUAUAAAUUAUGAUUCAUACUGUAUUAAGCAACAUAUAGAGAGCAAUAUUUCUUAAACUGCUAUUGAAAAUAAAUAACAGUUAUUUAACUUACUUAAAUAGAUAUACCGCUAUUUAACUAAACAGAGAAUUAACUGGAAAAAGAUGAAUCAUAAAAGGAGAAAAGGGUUACGUUUACCGGGCAGCAAUUGGGAUGAGAUGAAGUUUCAACCACUGAAAUGAUGGUUGGACUCCCACGGACAAAGAAGCUUGAUACAGCCGAGGAGGAAACCGCUUCCAUUAGCUAUAUGAAAACCCCCUCUAUUUUAGAUCAUUAAGAUUUUUUUGUGUUUUUCGAUGGUCAAAUCCGUGAAGGAAGGGGGUUAUGCAGGGAAAAAAUGGGUUGAUUUUGUGUGGGGAAACCUACAGAAAUUUACAAAAGGGAGGUGUUAAAAUGUCUGUCAAUCUAUAAAACACAUAGCAGUCAUAUGCACUAAAACUAAACCUAUACUAACACUAAAACUUUAAGUAAUGGAAGCGAAGGAGUAACAUGUUUGAAGCAAAAAUCAUAGUAGCAAGAACAUACUUUUAACUAUAAGCAUUCUGAAAUCAAAAAUUUCAUUGAUAAACAAAAUAUUCAAUCCAUUAUUUGCUCAAACAAGGAACUCAGAGAAAGACAGAUCAGCCUAUGCAAUGAGGAUGGACAAACGAGUAAAGCAAAAUACAUAACAGAUUCAUGAUAUAUUUCGACAAACAGUGAGCUAAUACUGCAAAUCAAACCACUUAUUAAAAUAAUAAGCGAAUAAACAACAAAGACAUUAAGCAUAUGGAAAGAAAAUUCAAAAGAUGAUCCUAAUUCAUACCACAUUAAAUAAUAUAAUAUGCAGAGACAGUAAUAUUUCUUAAACUCACUACUAAAAAUAAAUAACUAUUUGCCAAACUUAAACAAGAAACAGAAAAUUAAUUCAAAAAAAAUGAAGCAAGAAAGGAGAAAAUGAUUACCUUUUCAGGACAAUAACGAAGAUCUCACCACUGAAACCAUUGCUGGAACUACGACGAACAAAGAAGCUUGAUGCAGCAAAAGAAGAGAACUUUUUUCGUAUAAAAAAAUCCUUAAAUCUGAGAUGCUAUCUGAAAACCCUCCCUCUGUUUUAGAUGAUAAAGAAUUUAUGUGUUCAAAAAGGAGGAGGGGGUGGGUUGUAGGGAGAAAAUUGGUGGCUUUUGGAGAAAAAAAACAACGGCCGGAAAUUUUUGAAAGAGAUAAAUUCAAAUUUUGGAAAUUCUUUGGAGGAUAAGAAAUUUGAGACUAAAGCUGAAAGAAGGACGUCGGGAUUCCUUUCUUGAAGGUGUGAUCAUUUAAG
rnacentral:lncRNA from 1 species